rnacentral:rRNA from 1 species
AUGAACGCUAGCUACAGGCUUAACACAUGCAAGUCGAGGGGCAGCAUGGUCUUAGCUUGCUAAGGCUGAUGGCGACCGGCGCACGGGUGAGUAACACGUAUCCAACCUGCCGUCUACUCUUGGCCAGCCUUCUGAAAGGAAGAUUAAUCCAGGAUGGGAUCAUGAGUUCACAUGUCCGCAUGAUUAAAGGUAUUUUCCGGUAGACGAUGGGGAUGCGUUCCAUUAGAUAGUAGGCGGGGUAACGGCCCACCUAGUCAACGAUGGAUAGGGGUUCUGAGAGGAAGGUCCCCCACAUUGGAACUGAGACACGGUCCAAACUCCUACGGGAGGCAGCAGUGAGGAAUAUUGGUCAAUGGGCGAUGGCCUGAACCAGCCAAGUAGCGUGAAGGAUGACUGCCCUAUGGGUUGUAAACUUCUUUUAUAAAGGAAUAAAGUCGGGUAUGCAUACCCGUUUGCAUGUACUUUAUGAAUAAGGAUCGGCUAACUCCGUGCCAGCAGCCGCGGUAAUACGGAGGAUCCGAGCGUUAUCCGGAUUUAUUGGGUUUAAAGGGAGCGUAGAUGGAUGUUUAAGUCAGUUGUGAAAGUUUGCGGCUCAACCGUAAAAUUGCAGUUGAUACUGGAUGUCUUGAGUGCAGUUGAGGCAGGCGGAAUUCGUGGUGUAGCGGUGAAAUGCUUAGAUAUCACGAAGAACUCCGAUUGCGAAGGCAGCCUGCUAAGCUGCAACUGACAUUGAGGCUCGAAAGUGUGGGUAUCAAACAGGAUUAGAUACCCUGGUAGUCCACACGGUAAACGAUGAAUACUCGCUGUUUGCGAUAUACGGCAAGCGGCCAAGCGAAAGCGUUAAGUAUUCCACCUGGGGAGUACGCCGGCAACGGUGAAACUCAAAGGAAUUGACGGGGGCCCGCACAAGCGGUGGAGUAUGUGGUUUAAUUCGAAGCAACGCGAAGAACCUUACCAGGUCUUGACAUCCGAUGCAUAGUGCAGAGAUGCAUGAAGUCCUUCGGGACAUCGAGACAGGUGGUGCAUGGUUGUCGUCAGCUCGUGUCGUGAGAUGUUGGGUUAAGUCCCGCAACGAGCGCAACCCUUAUCCUUUGUUGCCAGCGGUCCGGCCGGGAACUCAAAGGAGACUGCCAGUGAUAAACUGGAGGAAGGUGGGGAUGACGUCAAAUCAGCACGGCCCUUACGUCCGGGGCUACACACGUGUUACAAUGGGGGGUACAGAGGGCCGCUACCACGCGAGUGGAUGCCAAUCCCUAAAACCCCUCUCAGUUCGGACUGGAGUCUGCAACCCGACUCCACGAAGCUGGAUUCGCUAGUAAUCGCGCAUCAGCCACGGCGCGGUGAAUACGUUCCCGGGCCUUGUACACACCGCCCGUCAAGCCAUGGGAGCCGGGGGUACCUGAAGUGCGUAACCGCGAGGAUCGCCCUAGGGUAAAACUGGUGACUGGGGCU